rnacentral:tmRNA from 4 species
GGGGAUGUCUUGGUUUUGACAGGAAGAUAAGAAAUACCAAAAUUGCUUUCGAGUGGUCGCACUGUCCUACUCUGAUCCGUCCAGUGCAAAAUAAAUGCUGAACAAGCAAAUCUUUCUAUUAUUGCUUUAGCUACAAAAGCUGUUAUGGCUUUUGCUGCGAAUAACAACAAUUACUCUAGGGUAGCUGUUGCUGCAUAAUAGAUAAAUCUUUCCCUCUAUUUUGGGAGAGUCGUUUUAUAUUUGAGGCUCCAAGUAAAAUAUAAAAUGUGAUUACAUGGAUGCUCUUUUAAUUUUGAUUUCGGUUAAAAGAUAAGAUUUAGAAAUCAAAAGUUUGAACAUUUUUGUUUAGUUUUUUUAUUUUCAAACUUCAAAACAAACUAAACUAUGAUAGUAGACGUUUUGGGUUUCCUUUCUGGACGCGGGUUCGACUCCCGCCAUCUCCACCA